AAAUUGAUGUUGCCUAGUGGUUAAGAUGCCGGAUUGCAAUGCAAGCGACCAGGGUUCGAUCCCCAGUCAGAUGA